GGAGUUAACGUCCCCUCCCCCUCGCUGCUGCGCCACUCUGUGUUUCAUAUGCGUUACUGCGGCUUCACUUUGCGUGUCUGAGGGCCACUGAAGUAGCAUCUGGUGGGUCUAUACUGGAAACAACAUACACUGCUAGUGAACAAGUUCCAUUCAGUCUAAGACACAUCCUCUGAGUAAUCUGAAUGCUUUCAUCUUACCUGUAGACAAGAAGCAAAUCCUCCCAGUCCUGCCCCUCUGUGAAAACUUUCUUUCUUUGUCCUUGUAUCUUUUCUAAUAAUUGAAUCACUGGAUUUAUUUUUUAUGUCUGUUUGUAAUGUAAAUGGAGUAAUUAAUUAGUACUUUUCUUGGGAUACUUUACAGAUGAGACAUGUGUUUUUGUUCUUGAUGUUUUAAUAUUUUGUAUUUUUACAGAAUUUUGCAGCAGUUAUUAAAGAAUCUGUUUUUAUUGCAGAAAAUUAGUUUGGAUUUUUUUUUCUUUAGUUAUUAUUACACUAGGUACACCAUAC